UACUUUCAGUGUGUAAAAAAGUGCGCGAAAUGUAGUGAUGCGGUUGAGAAAUGCGCUUCUGAAAUUUUAUUAUGAUUUUCGGAGUUGUUAUAAUAUUUUUCUGGAUAAAAUAACUGUUUUAUAAAUUAAAUUUUAAACAAUAAAAUUAAUUUACUUAAUUGCGAGUUAAAUUUAAAUACAAACACAUAAAAUCAUCAAUAAUGUCGCGUGACAUUCGAUCGUAUUUUUCAUUUCCUAAAGGACAAAGCAAAAAUGCACCGGCAGCAAAGCCGUCAAAGAUUAACAAAAAACCGUUGUCAUCUGAUGAGGAAGAUUCUCAUGCAAGUCCAAAGAAAAAUAAAGCUAAAAAAACAAAAAAAACUUCGAACCAUAUUAUAUCAGACUCAGACGACGAGGAUACGGUGACA